AGAGAAGGUAGUUCAUUUAACAACGAUUUUCGUUGUUUCCAUUUCUCAAUAACUUUAAAUUUAAGAAGUCCUCCUAACAUAAUGUUAGCGUAGGAGGGAUUAAUAGUCCCGUAGCUCAGUUGGUUAGAGCACUACACUGAUAAUGUAGGGGUCAGCAGUUCAAAUCUGCUCGGGACUACUUAUCUAAGGAGUGUUAACUCAGUUAUCAAAACUCGAUAAUAAUCGAGAGGAUUUAGUUGAGAUUAAUUACUCUGAUGAAAUUACGACAAAACUAACGAGUUUUGUCUUUUUGACUUUACAGGGGGAUUAGCUCAGCUGGCUAGAGCACUUGCCUUGCACGCAAGGGGUCACCGGUUCGACUCCGGUAUCCUCCACAAUUUAAAGUUCUUUGACAUAUUGGAAUUGAUUGAAGUAGUAAUACAAAAGAGAAUAAUAAGAAC
rnacentral:tRNA from 1 species